rnacentral:rRNA from 1 species
GAUGAACGCUGGCGGCGUGCCUAACACAUGCAAGUCGAACGAUGAAACCGCCCUCGGGCGGACAUGAAGUGGCGAACGGGUGAGUAACACGUGACCGACCUGCCCCCCGCCCAGGGACAGCCCCCCGAAAGGGGGAACAAUCCCUGGUACCCCGCAAGCGGCGCCUGCCGCCCCCGGGAAACCACUGGCGGCGGGGGAUGGGGUCGCGGCCCAUCAGGUAGACGGCGGGGUAGGAGCCCACCGGGCAGACGACGGGUAGCCGGGUUGAGAGACCGACCGGCCACAUUGGGACUGAGAUACGGCCCAGACUCCUACGGGAGGCAGCAGUGGGGAAUUUUGCGCAAUGGGGGCAACCCUGACGCAGCAACGCCGCGUGCGGGACGAAGGCGUCCGCGUCGUAAACCGCUUUCAGCGGGGAACACUUUUCGAGGGUACCCGCAGAAGAAGCCCCGGCUAAAUACGUGCCAGCAGCCGCAGUAA